CUCUUAAACAGAAAGCUUCACAUCUGACAGGCUGUGCUUACAGCACAUUCUCUGGUGACUUUGGUUUCCCAGGGAUCCUUGUGAUAUAUUUAUUCAUUCACAUGUCAGGACUCUUCUUUUCAGCUGGCAGUUUUAGCUGGAGCCCCUCUUAAACUGCCAAACCCUCAUAGACAUUCAGAUGUGGUAAAAGGAGGGAAACUGAAUCGCGUGAGAAUGGUGGGUUCUGGAAGCACUAUGACAUUUGAUUUAAGGAACAGUGUCUGGAGGAGUAUUGGGAAUGGAUGAAUUGGUGAUUUUGCUCUUUGGCAACAUUGGUACUGCUUAGGAAGGCAGUGGAGUAUAGCUGUUAAGCUUGAACUCAUGGCCAGGCGUGGUGGCUUAUGCCAGUAAUCCCAGCACUUUGGGAAGCUGAGGUGGGUGGAUCAAGAGGUCAGGAGUUCAAGACCAGCCUGACCAACAUGGCCAAACCCCAUCUCUACUAAAAAUACAAAAAUUGGUCAGGUGCAGUGGCUCACACUUGUAAUCCCAGCACUUUGGGAGGCCAAGGCAGGGAGAUCACCCGAGGUUGGGAAUUUGAGACCAGCCUGACCAACAUGGAGAAACCCCGUCUCUAUUAAAAAUACAAAAUACAAAAUUAGCUGGGUGUGGGUGGUGCAUGCCUGUAAUCCCAGCUACUUGGGAAGGCUGAGGCAGGAGAAUCGCUUGAACUGGGGAGGCAGAAGUUGCAGUGAGCCAAGAUCUUGGCAUUGCACUCCAGGUACCUGUAGUCCCAGCGAGGCUGAAGCAGGAGAAUGGCCUGAAUCUAGGAGGCGGAGGUUGCAGUGAGCCGAGAUUGCACCACUGCACUCCAGCCUAGGUGACAGAACUAGACUCAGUCUCAAAAAAAGAGCUUGGACUCAGCAGAUGGACUACGUGGCUUUCGUACUUUUUAGCUCUGGUAACCCAGAGCAAUUAAUUUUAUUCUGCUUUGCUUUCUUAAUCUUUAAAUAAUAGUACUUCAAGGGUUGGUGUGAGGCUUACAUGAGAUCAUUCAUGUAUGAGGGAUAGUUAUGUGAGAAAAUUAAUUAGAUAAUGUCUAAAACAUACAUGUCGACAACAAUAAAAAAAAGUACUGUGCUUUAUUAAGUUAGGGGAAUUGGCUUAAAGCUUAAUUACUUCAAAAUGAAUGUUCUAGAAAUUUAGUGAGCCAACAAAUAGUUUUUAAAUACUUUUCUCUUCCUUAAGCUUUUCUCCAUGGAAUCCUUCUGUACAUGAUGAAGCCAGAGAAAAGAUGCUGACUCAGAAAGUAAGUGGAUAACUACUUAUAAAAUGGCUAACUCAUUGUUUCUCUUCUAAAAUGUCUUCAUUUGGAGACUGCUCAUUACAUACAAGUAACUUUUUUGGGAAACAAGUUUGUACAGUGCUGAAAUCUCCUCACCAGUAAUUUUUUAAAUAUCUGUUUUGAUUGUGCCUAGAAGAAGCCUGAAGAACAGCACAAUAAAAGUGUUCAUGUUGCUGGCCUGUCAUGGGUAAAGCCUGGCUCAGUACAGCCUUUCAGUAAAGAAGAGAAAACAGUGGCAACUUAAGAGAUGGUGAAUCUGGUGCACCAUGCACUUUCCUGCUGGACUCUGGCCUAGUUCAAGCUGACCAAUGGCAGAGGACUGCCUGAAGAGUAAAACUGUGUGAACAAUGACUGACUGCCAGUGUUUUCCAUGUAUGCAUAGGUUCUAACAGCAGGGUUUGGAAACCUGUCUCUAAGUAAUGCAUUACUUCUGUCAGAAGUGUCUUAGGGUGGUUAUUUAGUUCAGUACUCCAAAUUAUUGGGGACCUUGAGGCUUAAGUAUUUUUCUGAAUAUAAUGCUAAAGGUAAGUUGCAUUCAUUUAAACUAAUAGAGCAGAGAGAAUUCAGCACUACUUAAUAGUUUAUAAAUCAGUGGUUUCAGUUGUAUAUAUGUUAGGAAAUGGAGAGGUAUAGAGAGAGCAGGUUCCAUAGCUCAGCACUUUUAAGAGGAAGAUCAUUUGAAUCUCAGUCUUCAGCCUGCACUGAUUUGUAGCCUGCACUGUCUUACUGAUUGAUUUACAAACUGAAAUCACUGAGAGAUGUCUUUAGUUGAGUGAGAAGAAACCAGAACACUUGUUCCUAGUGUUGUGUUGUUUUUUUAAGCAAAUUACUUACUGUAUUUUUAUGGCAGGAGGGAGAAAAAGUGUUACAACGGUUUCUAAUGAAGUCCGGUAUUUAAAUGAUAAAUGACUAGUGUGUUUAGUAGAGACAAAAUAAACCAAUAAAUGAUUGUCCUUUGCCAUUUAUGCAGGAAACUACCCUUUUCUCAAUAUAACCAAACAAAGGCU
rnacentral:sRNA from 1 species